CUGGGCUGGAGUCGUGCAAUGUCCUCAGGCUCACAGCUUUUAUCUUCGCUGCCCCCAGCUGUUGACAGGCACUGCCCAGAGAUGCCCUGAUCCCCCAGGUACUGGGACUCCAUCUGCGCGCCUUUGCCAGACUAUUUACAGCCGAGUGGAAUGGCUGCGAGGGGCAUCGGCCAGAGACCGGCGGGAGAGCUCAGGGGACAGACGCGAGACUCGCGCUGGACAAAGGCAAGGGAAGCCAGGGCAUCCACUCAGCACUGGGCAGGGCACAGGUACAGGGAUGUCACCACUCUGGGGAAGGGACAAAGGAAACCAGAAAUCUCGCCGCAGUAGAAGCAUGGAAGGGUUCCCAUGUUCCCACUUUGAGUUGCCAUCUGUCCUGUGAUCCCUCCUUUCCAGUUACACCAAUCUCUUGGAAAAGUGGCUUUUACAUCACGGGGCCUGUCGGGUGCAUCUCUCCCGUCCCAGGGACAUUACAGAACAGGGUGGCUCCUAGAGACUGCUCUUGCCCCCUCCGCUGCCCCCGUGUGGGGCAGCGAUCCCUGAGCAUUUGCUCUUACAGAAUGCUGGGCUGGGCUUGUACAGCAUCUAUAUAUAUGAAAAUACAUUUCUUCUAACAUGGU